rnacentral:rRNA from 1 species
AUUGAACGCUGGCGGCAUGCCUUACACAUGCAAGUCGAACGGUAACGCGGGGCAACCUGGCGACGAGUGGCGAACGGGUGAGUAAUACAUCGGAACGUACCCAGUAAUGGGGGAUAGCCCGGCGAAAGCCGGAUUAAUACCGCAUACGACCUAAGGGUGAAAGAGGGGGAUCGCAAGACCUCUCGUUAUUGGAGCGGCCGAUGGCAGAUUAGGUAGUUGGUGGGGUAAAGGCCUACCAAGCCGACGAUCUGUAGCUGGUCUGAGAGGACGACCAGCCCCACUGGGACUGAGACACGGCCCAGACUCCUACGGGAGGCAGCAGUGGGGAAUUUUGGACAAUGGACGCAAGUCUGAUCCAGCAAUGCCGCGUGCGGGAAGAAGGCCUUCGGGUUGUAAACCGCUUUUGUCAGGGAAGAAAUCUUCUGGGUUAAUACCUCGGGAGGAUGACGGUACCUGAAGAAUAAGCACCGGCUAACUACGUGCCAGCCGCCGCAGUAAAAC